ensembl:lncRNA
UUGAUCCAUGGCACAGGACAUGACCUUGGACCAGUAUGUCACCAAGUCCAAGUCCAAAGGAAAUGACCUGGAAAACAGGAACUUCUGCCCUCAAAGAUGCUAUUCAAAUGACAACCCAAGGCAUUUCAAGACUGCUUCUAGAGUCAAGAAUAUGAAGUGCAUCCUCUUCCUCUAACGUCUUGCUAACAUUCACUAAUUUCUGUUGCCAGUGCACACUGGGAUAUGAAGUUCAAACAGCUUCCCAGGAGUGAACAGGUGGGUCUGUAACACUAGAUUUGUUUUGUCUGAUGAGUCAUCUUUGUCUUGUGUCUGGUAAAGAUGAAGUUGUUUUGUCUCAUUGUGGGCCUGAGAGAUAUUUGAGAUCAUAUCCAGGGAUAUCUUGAGUUUGUCAUCUUUGUCUGAUGAUAAAAAUAAAACCAGAUGGCCUGCUGCA